rnacentral:rRNA from 1 species
CCAAUAGCGUAUAUUAAAGUUGUUGCAGUUAAAAAGCUCGUAGUUGAAUUUUAGGCCUGGCCGGGCGGUCCGUCUUUUGGCGAGUACUGUCCUGUUGUCGGGUCUUCCUUCUGGUGAGCCAGUAUGUCCUUAAUUGGGUGUGCCGGGGAGCCAGGACCAUUACCUUGAAAAAAUUAGAGUGUUUAAAGCGGGCUAUUGCAUGAAUAGAUUAGCAUGGAAUAAUAGAAUAGGACGUUGUGUGUCUAUUUUGUUGGUUUCUAGGACCACCGUAAUGAUUAAUGGGGAUAGUUUGGGGCAUUAGUAUUCAAUUGUCAGAGGUGUAAUUCUUGGAUUUAUUGAAGACUAACUAUUGCGAAAGCAUUUGCCAAGGAUGUUUUCAUUAAUCAAGAACGAAAGUUAGGGGAUCGAAGACGAUCAGAUACCGUCGUAGUCUUAACCAUAAACUAUGCCGACUAGGAAUCGGGCGACGUUAUUUUCACGACUCGCUCGGCGCCUUAGG